UACUAGAGUAGCACUCGCAUAUCAAUAAGCGGAGGAAAAGAAACUAACAAGGAUUCCCCUAGUAACGGCGAGUGAAGCGGGAAGAGCUCAAAUUUGAAAUCUUAAAGGGUUUCCCUUUACGAAUUGUAGUUUAAAGAAGUGUUUUCUGUUGAGGUUUUGGUAAAAGUUCUUUGGAAUAGGACAUCAUAGAGGGUGAGAAUCCCGUAUUUGACCUUUACUUUCAACUUUGUGAUACACUUUCAAAGAGUCGGAUUGUUUGGGAAUGCAGUCCAAAAUGGGUGGUAAAUUUCAUCUAAAGCUAAAUAUUGGCGAGAGACCGAUAGCGAACAAGUACCGUGAGGGAAAGAUGAAAAGAACUUUGAAAAGAGAGUUAAACAGUACGUGAAAUUGUCAAAAGGGAAGCGUUUGACACCAGUGUUGUUUUUCUGAAAAUCAAUUAAAGAACUGUUUAUGCUAAGCUGUUUAGACUUUAUCAGCUAUCUGUUUAGUUUUAGGCUUUUCUUUAAUGCACUUUUCAGUUAACAAGUCAACAUCAAUUUCUUUUGCUGUAAAAAAGCUUGAGGAAGGUGGCUUGAGAUUCGUCUUAAGUGUUUAUAGCCUCUUGCCUAUGCAGUCGGGGAGAUUGAGGUCUGCAGCGUAGAUCCUUCGGGGCUAAAUGCAUUUGUGCUAAGUUAUAGCAUUUUAUAGACAACUUGUUGACUAUGAUUUGUCUUGUAGCUUACUCGCUUAUGUUAUUUUACCUACGCUUAGGAUGUUGAGCGCAUGUCUCUCUCU
rnacentral:rRNA from 1 species